rnacentral:rRNA from 1 species
AUUGAACGCUGGCGGCAGGCCUGACACAUGCAAGUCGAACGGUAACAGGAAGAAGCUUGCUUCUUUGCUGACGAGUGGCGGACGGGUGAGUAAUGUCUGGGAAACUGCCUGAUGGAGGGGGAUAACUACUGGAAACGGUAGCUAAUACCGCAUAACGUCGCAAGACCAAAGAGGGGGACCUUCGGGCCUCUUGCCAUCGGAUGUGCCCAGAUGGGAUUAGCUAGUAGGUGGGGUAACGGCUCACCUAGGCGACGAUCCCUAGCUGGUCUGAGAGGAUGACCAGCCACACUGGAACUGAGACACGGUCCAGACUCCUACGGGAGCAGCAGUGGGAAUAUUGCACAAUGGGCGCAAGCCUGAUGCAGCCAUGCCGCGUGUAUGAAGAA